CCUACGGGAGGCAGCAGUGGGGAAUAUUGGGCAAUGGGCGCAAGCCUGACCCAGCAACGCCGCGUGAAGGAAGAAGGCUUUCGGGUUGUAAACUUCUUUUCUCAGGGACGAAGCAAGUGACGGUACCUGAGGAAUAAGCCACGGCUAACUACGUGCCAGCAGCCGCGGUAAUACGUAGGUGGCAAGCGUUAUCCGGAUUUACUGGGUGUAAAGGGCGUGUAGGCGGGAAAGCAAGUCAGAUGUGAAAACCAUGGGCUCAACCUGUGGCCUGCAUUUGAAACUGUUUUUCUUGAGUACUGGAGAGGUAAGCGGAAUGCCUGGUGUAGCGGUGAAAUGCGUAGAUAUCAGGAGGAACACCGGCGGCGAAGGCGGCUUACUGGACUGUAACUGACGUUGAGGCUCGAAGGCGUGGGGAGCAAACAGGAUUAGAUACCCGGGUAGUC
rnacentral:rRNA from 1 species